AUGGCCAUUACUUUUUCUGUUGUUGGACCCUCCAAGGUCUGUAAUUUGUCAGACACAGAUUUCAAUAUGUUGGGUGUGACUAAAAUCGGCGACAAAACCCGACUUGUUCAGAGAUGCCGAGCUGAACUAAAUGUUGUACCCGUUAGUAAAGGUGGAGGUACCACGCUGCUUGGUGUAUCCAAAGACUGUACCUUGAUUCAGUUACAGGAAAAUAUAAUGAAUAUUUUUUUUUCCAAAUGGGCGGUCACCAACUAACAAUUUACUGUUGAAAGACUGUAGCAGUUUUUUUAUACGCCAACAUAUAUAA